CAGCAGCCGCGGUAAUACGAAGGGGGCUAGCGUUGUUCGGAAUCACUGGGCGUAAAGCGCACGUAGGCGGACACUUAAGUCAGAGGUGAAAUCCCAAGGCUCAACCUUGGAACUGCCUUUGAUACUGGGUGUCUUGAGUUCGGGAGAGGUGAGUGGAACUGCGAGUGUAGAGGUGAAAUUCGUAGAUAUUCGCAAGAACACCAGUGGCGAAGGCGGCUCACUGGCCCGAUACUGACGCUGAGGUGCGAAAGCGUGGGGAGCAAACAGGAUUAGAUACCCCUGUAGUCCCUGUCUCUUAUAA
rnacentral:rRNA from 1 species